UAAUGAUUUUAACCGGGUGAUAAUAUAUAUAUUAUCAUAAAUCAGAGUGAAUAUUCAUUAAAAAUUCCCACCCAAGAACUGUUGCAAAGCAUUUCUAAAUAAGCACAAAGAAACACUGAAAUAUUUUCUAGGACCCAGAGCAAAUCACCACAAAAAUUUUAACUCACUCUAUUAAGAAUUUUUACCAUAAGAAAUAUCUUUCAAUUUAUGAUCAAAGUAAGAGAGUAUAAAGUUAUCCAGAAACCUUUAAAUCAAUUGUGCUGAACAAUUUGUAUUUAAAUAAAUAGAUAGACAUAGAUUUAUUUUGAAGGAUCAAGUUUUUCUUCAAUUGCUUACAUAAAUAUCAAGAGCAAAUACUUUUUUAAAGGCAAUGAUAGUUUUCCUGAAAUUUAUACUUAUUUUUAGAAAAAAAACAUAAAAAUCUAAUUAUCUAUGUCUGCAAAUCUUACUUAUCCUUUUAAGUUCUGAGGGACGUUUUGUAAUUCAAUGUAUGAUUUGGGAAGUUAUUAAUGUUUUAAAUUAUAUUUUUCUUUAUUAGCAACAAAUGAGUUUGAUUGUAGGCUUGAUUUUAAUGUGUUACAAUUGAGUUUAGUGAUCAUAGGAAGUAUUAGGCUUUUGGGCAUCAAAUUUAUAUUUCACCUUGAAAGCUUCAAAGACAUUGCUC